UACAGAGACUGCAAGCGUUAUUCGGAUUCACUGGGCGUAAAGGGUGCGCAGGCGGCCGUGUGUGUCAGGUGUGAAAAGCCCGGAGCUUAACUCCGGAAUUGCGCCUGAAACUACAUGGCUAGAGCAUUGGAGAGGGUAGCGGAAUUCACGGUGUAGCAGUGAAAUGCGUAGAUAUCGUGAGGAACACCAGAGGCGAAGGCGGCUACCUGGACAAUUGCUGACGCUCAGGCACGAAAGCGUGGGGAGCAAAAGGG
rnacentral:rRNA from 1 species